rnacentral:rRNA from 1 species
UAAACGGAGAGUUUGAUCCUGGCUCAGGAUGAACGCUGGCGGCGUGCCUAACACAUGCAAGUCGAACGAUGAAGUCAUUUGCGAGUCUUUCGGGACAAGCUGUUGAUGGAAGAGU